rnacentral:rRNA from 1 species
CCCUAGUAACUGCGAGUGAAGCGGGAAAAGCUCAAAUUUAAAAUCUGGCGGUCUUUGGCUGUCCGAGUUGUAAUCUAGAGAAGUGUUAUCCGCGCUGGACCGUGUACAAGUCUCCUGGAAUGGAGCGUCAUAGAGGGUGAGAAUCCCGUCUUUGACACGGACUGCCAGGGCUUUGUGAUGCGCUCUCAAAGAGUCGAGUUGUUUGGGAAUGCAGCUCAAAAUGGGUGGUAAAUUCCAUCUAAAGCUAAAUAUUGGCGAGAGACCGAUAGCGAACAAGUACCGUGAGGGAAAGAUGAAAAGAACUUUGGAAAGAGAGUUAAACAGUACGUGAAAUUGCUGAAAGGGAAACGCUUGAAGUCAGUCGCGUUGUCCGGGGAUCAACCUUGCUUUUGCUGGGUGUACUUUCCGGUUGACGGGUCAGCAUCAAUUUUGACCGUUGGAUAAAGGUUUUGGGAAAGUGGCUUCCUCGGAAGUGUUAUAGCCCAGGGUCGCAUACAACGGUUGGGAUUGAGGAACUCAGCACGCCGAAAGGCCGGGUACUUGUACCACGUUCGUGCUUAGGAUGCUGGCAUAAUGGCUUUAAUCGACCCGUCUUGAAACACGGACC